AUUGAACGCUGGCGGCAUGCUUUACGCAUGCAAGUCGAACGGGCUUAGGGGCUUGCUCCUAAGUUAGUGGCGAACGGGUGAGUAAUACAUCGGAACGUACCGUGUAGUGGGGGAUAACGUAGCGAAAGUUACGCUAAUACCGCAUACGAUCUACGGAUGAAAGUGGGGGACCUUCGGGCCUCACGCUAUACGAGCGGCCGAUGUCUGAUUAGCUAGUUGGUGAGGUAAAGGCUCACCAAGGCAACGAUCAGUAGCGGGUCUGAGAGGAUGAUCCGCCACACUGGGACUGAGACACGGCCCAGACUCCUACGGGAGGCAGCAGUGGGGAAUUUUGGACAAUGGGCGAAAGCCUGAUCCAGCCAUGCCGCGUGUCUGAAGAAGGCCUUCGGUUGUAAAGG
rnacentral:rRNA from 1 species